rnacentral:rRNA from 1 species
UACGAAGGGGGCUAGCGUUGUUCGGAAUCACUGGGCGUAAAGGGCGCGUAGGCGGCUUUAUAAGUCGGGGGUGAAAGCCUGUGGCUCAACCACAGAAUUGCCUUCGAUACUGUAGAGCUUGAGACCGGAAGAGGUAAGUGGAACUGCGAGUGUAGAGGUGAAAUUCGUAGAUAUUCGGAAGAACACCGGUGGCGAAGGCGGCCCACUGGCUCGAUACUGACGCUGAGGUGCGAAAGCGUGGGGAGCAAACAGG